rnacentral:rRNA from 1 species
GGCUAACGCUGGCGGCGUGUCUUAGCCAUGCAAGUCGAGCGGACUUAUGGGGUAACUUAUAAGUCAGCGGCGGACGGCGGAGUAACACGUAGCUAACCUACCCUCUGGACGGGGAUAACCUACCGAAAGGUGGGCUAAUACCCGAUGUAGUCAUCCUGUAUAGGGGUGAUGAAAGGUGGGCUUCUGUUUACAAGCUCAUGCUGGGGGAGGGGGCUGCGGCCUAUCAGGUAGUUGGUAGGGUAAUAGCCUACCAAGCCGAUGACGGGUAGCCGGCCUGAGAGGGUGACCGGCCCGAGGGGCACUGAGAUACGGGUCCCACUCCUACGGGAGGCAGCAGGCUAGAAAUUUGGGCAAUGGGGGAAACCCUGACCCAGUGACGCCGCGUGCAGGAAGGAGCCCUUCGGGGUGUAAACUGCUGUCGUGUAGGGAGAAGGGUACUAAGGUGAACAAUCUUAGUACUUGACGGUACUACAGGAGGAAGCCCAGGCUAACCUCGUG